AGCUAACGCUGGCGGCGCGCCUAAUACAUGCAAGUCGAACGAGGAAGUACCUUCGGGUAUUGUACUAGUGGCGCACGGGAGAGGAACACGUAGAUAAUCUUCCUUCAAGUGGAGGAUAACCAGUCGAAAGACUGGCUAAUACUCCAUAAGACCAAGAGUCGAAUGACUCAAUGGUAAAAGGUUUUUCGCUUGAAGAUGAGUCUGCGUCCCAUUAGCUAGUUGGUGAGGUAAUGGCUCACCAAGGCUAUGAUGGGUAGCUGGUCUGAGAGGAUGAUCAGCCUCACUGGAACUGAAACACGGUCCAGACUCCUACGGGAGGCAGCAGUAGGGAAUAUUGCACAAUGGGGGAAACCCUGAUGCAGCGACGCCGCGUGAGUGAUGAAGGACUUCGGUUUGUAAAGCUCUGUUGUCUGGGAAUAAAAAAAUGAAUGUACCAGACGAGAAAGGGACGGCUAACUUCGUGCCAGCCGCCGCGGUAA
rnacentral:rRNA from 1 species